CCUACGGGCGGCAGCAGUGGGGAAUAUUGCGCAAUGGGCGAAAGCCUGACGCAGCGACGCCGCGUGAGGGAUGAAGGUCCUCGGAUCGUAAACCUCCGUCAGCAGGGAAGAACGGUCACUGUGCUAAUCAGCAGUGAAUUGACGGUACCUGCAAAGGAAGCACCGGCUAACUCCGUGCCAGCAGCCGCGGUAAUACGGAGGGUGCGAGCGUUAGACGGAAUUACUGGGCGUAAAGCGCACGUAGGCGGUAUGUCAAGUCAAGGGUGAAAUCCCCGCGCUCAACGUGGGAACUGCCUUUGAAACUGGCAACCUGGAGUGUGUGAGAGGCUGGUGGAAUUCCAGGUGUAGGGGUGAAAUCCGUAGAUAUCUGGAGGAACAUCAGUGGCGAAGGCGACUAUCUGGCACCUAACUGACGCUGAGGAGCGAAAGCGUGGGUAGCAAACAGGAUUAGAUACCCCAGUAGUC
rnacentral:rRNA from 1 species